UGAAUCGGCGUCCCCGCACUCAUGUGCGUC
rnacentral:sRNA from 1 species